rnacentral:tRNA from 1 species
GCCCUUUGAGUAUGAUAGAGUACAGUUGCCUUCCAAGCAGAAAGAUUAAAAAAUUUUAAAAAGGGUA